CAGCAGCCGCGGUAAUACGAAGGGUGCAAGCGUUAAUCGGAAUUACUGGGCGUAAAGCGUGCGUAGGCGGUUGUGUAAGACAGGUGUGAAAUCCCCGGGCUUAACCUGGGAACUGCGCUUGUGACUGCACAGCUAGAGCAUGGCAGAGGGGGGUGGAAUUCCACGUGUAGCAGUGAAAUGCGUAGAGAUGUGGAGGAACACCGAUGGCGAAGGCAGCCCCCUGGGCCAAUACUGACGCUCAUGCACGAAAGCGUGGGGAGCAAACAGGAUUAGAUACCCGCGUAGUCCCUGUCUCUUAUAC
rnacentral:rRNA from 1 species